UACGGGGGGGGUAAGCGUUGUUCGGAAUUACUGGGCGUAAAGGGCUCGUAGGCGGCCAACUAAGUCAGACGUGAAAUCCCUCAGCUUAACUGGGGAACUGCGUCUGAUACUGGAUGGCUUGGAUCCGGAAGAGGGAUGCGGAAUUCCAGGUGUAGCGGUGAAAUGCGUAGAUAUCUGGAGGAACACCGGUGGCGAAGGCGGCGUCCUGGACCAACACUGACACUGAUGAGCGAAAGCCAGGGAGCAAACGGG
rnacentral:rRNA from 1 species